GUUAUAGCUCAGUGGCAGAGCAUCUGCUUCCCAUUCAGAGGGUUCCAAGUUCAAUCCCUGGCAUGUCCA